AAGAGUAUAAUUUAAUGGUAAAAUAUAGAGCUUCAACCUCCAUUUUCUCAGUUCAAAUCUGAGUGCUCUUG